UUAAGCGACUAAGCGUACACGGUGGAUGCCCUGGCAGUCAGAGGCGAUGAAGGACGUGCUAAUCUGCGAUAAGCGUCGGUGAGGUGAUAUGAACCGUUAUAACCGGCGAUUUCCGAAUGGGGAAACCCAGUGUGAUUCGUCACACUAUCAUUAACUGAAUCCAUAGGUUAAUGAGGCGAACCGGGGGAACUGAAACAUCUAAGUACCCCGAGGAAAAGAAAUCAACCGAGAUUCCCCCAGUAGCGGCGAGCGAACGGGGAGGAGCCCAGAGCCUGAAUCAGUGUGUGUGUUAGUGGAAGCGUCUGGAAAGGCGCGCGAUACAGGGUGACAGCCCCGUACACAAAAAUGCACAUACUGUGAGCUCGAUGAGUAGGGCGGGACACGUGGUAUCCUGUCUGAAUAUGGGGGGACCAUCCUCCAAGGCUAAAUACUCCUGACUGACCGAUAGUGAACCAGUACCGUGAGGGAAAGGCGAAAAGAACCCCGGCGAGGGGAGUGAAAAAGAACCUGAAACCGUGUACGUACAAGCAGUGGGAGCCUCUUAAUGGGGUGACUGCGUACCUUUUGUAUAAUGGGUCAGCGACUUAUAUUCUGUAGCAAGGUUAACCGAAUAGGGGAGCCGAAGGGAAACCGAGUCUUAACUGGGCGUUAAGUUGCAGGGUAUAGACCCGAAACCCGGUGAUCUAGCUAUGGGCAGGUUGAAGGUUGGGUAACACUAACUGGAGGACCGAACCGACUAAUGUUGAAAAAUUAGCGGAUGACUUGUGGCUGGGGGUGAAAGGCCAAUCAAACCGGGAGAUAGCUGGUUCUCCCCGAAAGCUAUUUAGGUAGCGCCUCGUGAAUUCAUCUCCGGGGGUAGAGCACUGUUUCGGCAAGGGGGUCAUCCCGACUUACCAACCCGAUGCAAACUGCGAAUACCGGAGAAUGUUAUCACGGGAGACACACGGCGGGUGCUAACGUCCGUCGUGAAGAGGGAAACAACCCAGACCGCCAGCUAAGGUCCCAAAGUCAUGGUUAAGUGGGAAACGAUGUGGGAAGGCCCAGACAGCCAGGAUGUUGGCUUAGAAGCAGCCAUCAUUUAAAGAAAGCGUAAUAGCUCACUGGUCGAGUCGGCCUGCGCGGAAGAUGUAACGGGGCUAAACCAUGCACCGAAGCUGCGGCAGCGACGCUUAUGCGUUGUUGGGUAGGGGAGCGUUCUGUAAGCCUGUGAAGGUGGCCUGUGAGGGUUGCUGGAGGUAUCAGAAGUGCGAAUGCUGACAUAAGUAACGAUAAAGCGGGUGAAAAGCCCGCUCGCCGGAAGACCAAGGGUUCCUGUCCAACGUUAAUCGGGGCAGGGUGAGUCGACCCCUAAGGCGAGGCCGAAAGGCGUAGUCGAUGGGAAACAGGUUAAUAUUCCUGUACUUGGUGUUACUGCGAAGGGGGGACGGAGAAGGCUAUGUUGGCCGGGCGACGGUUGUCCCGGUUUAAGCGUGUAGGCUGGUUUUCCAGGCAAAUCCGGAAAAUCAAGGCUGAGGCGUGAUGACGAGGCACUACGGUGCUGAAGCGACAAAUGCCCUGCUUCCAGGAAAAGCCUCUAAGCAUCAGGUAACAUCAAAUCGUACCCCAAACCGACACAGGUGGUCAGGUAGAGAAUACCAAGGCGCUUGAGAGAACUCGGGUGAAGGAACUAGGCAAAAUGGUGCCGUAACUUCGGGAGAAGGCACGCUGAUAUGUAGGUGAAGCGACUUGCUCGUGGAGCUGAAAUCAGUCGAAGAUACCAGCUGGCUGCAACUGUUUAUUAAAAACACAGCACUGUGCAAACACGAAAGUGGACGUAUACGGUGUGACGCCUGCCCGGUGCCGGAAGGUUAAUUGAUGGGGUUAGCGGUAACGCGAAGCUCUUGAUCGAAGCCCCGGUAAACGGCGGCCGUAACUAUAACGGUCCUAAGGUAGCGAAAUUCCUUGUCGGGUAAGUUCCGACCUGCACGAAUGGCGUAAUGAUGGCCAGGCUGUCUCCACCCGAGACUCAGUGAAAUUGAACUCGCUGUGAAGAUGCAGUGUACCCGCGGCAAGACGGAAAGACCCCGUGAACCUUUACUAUAGCUUGACACUGAACAUUGAGCCUUGAUGUGUAGGAUAGGUGGGAGGCUUUGAAGUGUGGACGCCAGUCUGCAUGGAGCCGACCUUGAAAUACCACCCUUUAAUGUUUGAUGUUCUAACGUGGGCCCCUUACCGGGGUUGCGGACAGUGUCUGGUGGGUAGUUUGACUGGGGCGGUCUCCUCCUAAAGAGUAACGGAGGAGCACGAAGGUUGGCUAAUCCUGGUCGGACAUCAGGAGGUUAGUGCAAUGGCAUAAGCCAGCUUGACUGCGAGCGUGACGGCGCGAGCAGGUGCGAAAGCAGGUCAUAGUGAUCCGGUGGUUCUGAAUGGAAGGGCCAUCGCUCAACGGAUAAAAGGUACUCCGGGGAUAACAGGCUGAUACCGCCCAAGAGUUCAUAUCGACGGCGGUGUUUGGCACCUCGAUGUCGGCUCAUCACAUCCUGGGGCUGAAGUAGGUCCCAAGGGUAUGGCUGUUCGCCAUUUAAAGUGGUACGCGAGCUGGGUUUAGAACGUCGUGAGACAGUUCGGUCCCUAUCUGCCGUGGGCGCUGGAGAACUGAGGGGGGCUGCUCCUAGUACGAGAGGACCGGAGUGGACGCAUCACUGGUGUUCGGGUUGUCAUGCCAAUGGCACUGCCCGGUAGCUAAAUGCGGAAGAGAUAAGUGCUGAAAGCAUCUAAGCACGAAACUUGCCCCGAGAUGAGUUCUCCCUGACUCCUUGAGAGUCCUGAAGGAACGUUGAAGACGACGACGUUGAUAGGCCGGGUGUGUAAGCGCAGCGAUGCGUUGAGCUAACCGGUACUAAUGAACCGUGAGGCUUAACCUU
rnacentral:rRNA from 1 species